GAUGAACGCUGGCGGCGUGCCUAAUACAUGCAAGUCGAGCGAACGGACGAGAAGCUUGCUUCUCUGAUGUUAGCGGCGGACGGGUGAGUAACACGUGGAUAACCUACCUAUAAGACUGGGAUAACUUCGGGAAACCGGAGCUAAUACCGGAUAAUAUUUUGAACCGCAUGGUUCAAAAGUGAAAGACGGUCUUGCUGUCACUUAUAGAUGGAUCCGCGCUGCAUUAGCUAGUUGGUAAGGUAACGGCUUACCAAGGCAACGAUGCAUAGCCGACCUGAGAGGGGGAUGGGCCACACUGGAAGUGAGACACGGUCCAGACUCCUACGGGAGGCAGCAGUAGGGAAUCUUACGCGAUGGGCGAAAGCUUGGAGGAGCAACGCCGCGUGAGUGAUGAAGGUCUUCGGAUCGUAAAACUCUGUUAUUAGGGAAGAACAUAUGUGUAAGUAACUGUGCACAUCUUGACGGUACCUAAUCAGAAAGCCACGGCUAACUACGUG
rnacentral:rRNA from 1 species